GUGGGAGAAGUCGCCGCCCGCGUCUGUCCAAACUUAGUCCCAAACUCAGGAGGUUCCUGUCCCAAGAAGCAAUGUAAAGUUUGAAACGAGCCACCGCGCCCUGCCUAUAUUAGGUUUUUAAAUAGCAGGAGGCAAAGCUUUUCGGUGUGAUCCUGACUUCACUUGGGGAAAAAGGACACAGGGUCUCACUGUGUUGGCCAGGCUGGAGUGCGGCAGUCUGGAACUCCUGGGCCCAAGUGAUCCUCCAAUCAGCCUCACAAAGCACUGGAAUUACAGGUCCUGGCAGGAGCUCUGGUACCUGGGAAGCUGGAUGGAGAGCCUGGGCCAGAAUCCCGGACCCCUCACCUCUGCGGCCUAGCUUUGUGACCUUGGCAAAUCCAUUCUAUGCACCUCCAUUUCCUGUACAGUGGGGAUCCUUAUUUCUCUGGCACAGAUUGGUAUUUGUUCUGUAAAGCCCAGUACCACUU
rnacentral:lncRNA from 1 species